GGACAGUGACGAUUUGUAUCAAUGGUCUCGUUCGGCAUAAUGGCAUGUUUGCCUUGCUGACCAUCCUGAUAUAUCACCACCCAUAUUCUGAGUCC
rfam:Jatropha curcas cultivar GZQX0401 scaffold211_27, whole genome shotgun sequence.